rnacentral:rRNA from 1 species
CCUGAUUGACGAUGGAUCACAGUGAUGGCGACGGGUGAGUAACACGUAGGUACCUGCCCCGGGAGCGGGGGAUAACAUUUGGAAACAGAUGCUAAUACCGCAUACAAAAAGCCACAUGGCUUUUGUUUGAAAGAUGGCUUUGGCUAUCACUCUGGGAUGGACCUGCGGUGCAUUAGCUAGUUGGUAAGGUAACGGCUUACCAAGGCGAUGAUGCAUAGCCGAGUUGAGAGACUGAUCGGCCACAAUGGAACUGAGACACGGUCCCAUACUCCUACGGGAGGCAGCAGUAGGGAAUCUUCCACAAUGGGGCGCAAGCCUGAUGGAGCAACACCGCGUGAGUGAAGAAGGGUUUCGGCUCGUAAAGCUCUGUUGUUGGAGAAGAACGUGCGUGAGAGUAACUGUUCACGCAGUGACGGUAUCCAACCAGAAAGUCACGGCUAACUACGUGCCAGCAGCCGCGGUAA